AGCCCGGGAGGAAACCAAGUCCUCUGAAGAUCACCGUAAUGACCACUCAAGGAACCCUGACUAGUGCCCACCACAGCUGAGGAGCUGACACCAGAGCUGACUCAACUGCCAGAGAGCUCCCACAGCCGUGCUGGGUCGGGCUGCUCGUGAUGCUGGGGCUCAGACCUUGCUUUCACCCACCAGAAGUCAUUCUCCCCCACCAGAACUCUCAUCUAAUUUAUUACAACCACCCAAAUGACCAGACAUCUCUGGUGCAGACCAGUUGGGAACGUGGUACCCUGGGGUCCCAUUCUGACCAGCACGGUAGGCCUGCGCAGCGGUGCUGACCACCUUCCAGGGAUUCAAUGCGGAUG